AAGUCGUAACAAGGUUUCCGUAGGUGAACCUGCGGAAGGAUCAUUAGUGAAUAUUAGCGCAUCUCUUCGGAGAGCGUGAUCUCCACUUUCUAACUCUGUGCAUUUAUUUGGCGGCUCUGAAGAUGUAACAGUCUACUUAGCUGCGGCUCAUUUUAUAACACUAGUUAAAGUAUGUAACGAAAUAUCGAAACAAAAAAAAACUUUCAACAACGGAUCUCUUGGCUUGCUC
rnacentral:misc_RNA from 1 species